ACUUCAACCAAAUGUGUACUACAUCUUCGAACCCUAUAUAUCAUUAUUACGCGUGAAGAGAUAGAACACGUUCAUCACUUCAAUCAAUACACUAUUAUUUAUAAAAAUAUCUAUCUAAUCUUUCUAAAUCUCUUUGGUUUCUCCGUAGAUAUGAUCCGCCUUCUCUCACAAUCUCCCUGUUUUAUCCGUCAGAACCCUUGCUAAGAAAUUAUCCCCAAUCCAUCUCAUCUCUUUGAUUUCUCCGACAGAACCCUUGUUCCGAAAAAAUCUCCCGUCUAUCGAAUACGAGAUCAACUCUCUGUCGAAAUCCUUUCUCCAAAAUAAUAUCACAUCCGCCGGGUCCUAUUCUUCAUUCACACCAUUCUUGAUUGUCUCCAUUACGAUUGUCUUGAUAUCAUCUAAUCUCCUGUUGGCAAAUAUGGAGACCAUUGAGUUAGCAUCUCGGAUUUUUGCUGCUGGAGAGGAACCAGUAUAAAGGAAAGCGACGAUAUAUCGUUGUCUCAAAGCACCAUAGCUCUGUCCGGUUACGUCCAGUCCCUCCAGAUGGUCAUGACAAAAGUCGUACCUGCUCUCACUGAAGUUGUAUGGCAAGACUCUGCAACCGAUGUAGCUGGUGCUGAGGAUGAUGAUUUUUCAUAUACCCCCCCUAGUAAUGGUAUCAAGCCAGCACACACAAGGACGUUGGAUACUGCUAAAAGUUUGUAUAGAUACGUAUGACUUCUAUCAUCCCGCAUGAGGGUGACUUUGAGGUCGACGAAGCGUAGCUGUGUUUCUCUGAAUAAUUGAUCGAAAGCACCCGAACAGGAUACCUCCUGACAUUUAUCUUUAUUCCAUCAGACAUUUAUAUACUUAGCCGUCAAAUGUAUAAGUUAUCCUACAAACAGAUAUGUUGUGAUGUCGUCAACAUUGUGUAAAAUAAUCGGAUUCAUCAUCAUUUAUCCGUUAUAGGUCAAGUUAGCCUUCUAUUCCAAAUAAAAAUUAUGUGUCCAAGUGUCUUCAUUUUUAAGAGUAAUCUAACUAGGACCUACGUAUGUUCACUAAUUCUCGCACAACGAACCAUAAGCUGCUAAAUAAUUUUCGAUUUGACCUUCUUCAUGUAUUAACUUCUGAUGAAACGGAAAGGCUGAAAAGAUUUUCAGAGAGCCAUUAAAGACGAUUCAAUUUUGGAAAGUGAUAGCUAAGACUCCGAAUGGUAACAGCGGGUUGGGCGGUGCGGGACAAGCUGAUUGAUUAGUGCGGUGCGGUUUAAGAGCGGUUUGUGUUAGAAAAACGCAUACUGCAGGACAAGUGUGAUUCAUCUAAUAAAAGCGGUUUAAGAAAUAUGUGAAUGGUGACCAAAAUAAUAAAAAGUGCGGGACAAAUGUUUGAAUGGUGUUUAACUGUGGUUUGUAUAAGAGAAACUUAAUAAAAUUAAUUAAAUUUGUUAUUUAAAAUAGAAAACGUAAAAGUUUAUA